CAAAGGACCUAAUAGUUCUAAUAAGGAAUGUGAUUUGAUUUUUUCAGGAAAGAUGUGAGGAACCUAAGGAAUCUACAUAAGAGGAUGCCUCCUCAUUCUGGAAACCUGUCAAAAAAUAAUAAGACAAAGGCUGUUCUUACUGGCUCAACAUGGUCCAGGGAGUCUGCCUGUGGUUAUUGUACCAUCCUGGCUUGUUGACUGGACCUGCAUGCUGCUGUGAGGAUGAGAUGGUUGCCUAGUCUAUUCUACUGUUGCUAUUGCUCCUGCUUUGCCACCCUGGGACUUGUGGUCCCUGUCAGGAAAAUCCAAAAUGCUCACAAAUUCCUUACUAUUCUUCAUUUUUGGAAAGAAGAGAAAUAUUUCCCAACUGCCCAGUUCAAGUGUGGUAGUUUUGUGGUGUAGUUCUUCUGGAAGAGAGCUUAGGUCCUACAAGAUAAUCCUCCUCCCUUAUUACAUUACAAAGGAGUAGGUCUCAUCAAGUUUAGAGUAAUAGAUGAAAACCAGCAGCAAAACUGGGUGAAAACACUGGAACUUUGGGUGUGGAUUUCUGCUGAAUUUUUUGCAUUAGUUAGGUGGUGUUUUUCUAUCUUUUCCACUGAACAUCUCUUCCCAAGAGAUUACUGACAUUAGUAAUCUUGAGUAAUCAGCUGCAUCUUUCUUUCCUGGGUACUGGAAAAUUCCAGCAGUAAUAAUCAGUUCUACCUCAAACAUCCCAAUUUUUGUGUGGUGCUUAAAUCAUUUGGAACUGUUUUCUACAGUCUUUUUUUAUCUUAAGUAUCUGCAAAAAAAAGCAAAUUCUUAAUUUAGGUACUUAUAGCAAGAAAUAUGCUACACUGUGACGAGAACACAGGAUAGUACUUCUACCAGUUUGCUCUGUUUUUCUAGUUAAAAGGAUCAGUAGGUUAUGUGCUGGGGAAAACCUUUGCUAUCCUACCUGCUUUUUCUGCUCUUCUACAUCCCUCUGUAUUAUUUGUGGUUCUUUGGCUCCCUCUUA
rnacentral:lncRNA from 1 species